GGACCCGCACAAGCAGUGGAGUAUGUGGCUUAAUUCGACGCUACGCGAAAAACCUUACCAGGUCUUGACAUCCGACUAACGAAGCAGAGAUGCAUCAGGUGCCCUUCGGGGAAAGUCGAGACAGGUGGUGCAUGGUUGUCGUCAGCUCGUGUCGUGAGAUGUUGGGUUAAGUCCCGCAACGAGCGCAACCCUUGCCGAUAGUUACUACGAAAGAGGACUCUAUUGGGACUGCCGUUGACAAAACGGAGGAAGGUGGGGACGAGGUCAAAUCAUCAUGCCCCUUAUGACCUGGGCUGCACACGUACUACAAUGGUCGUCAACAGAGGGAUGCAAUACCGCGAGGUGGAGCGAACCCCCAAAAACGAUCUCAGUUCAGAUUGUAGGCUGCAACUCGCCUACAUGAAGUCGGAAUUGCUAGUAAUCGCGGAUCAGCAUGCCG
rnacentral:rRNA from 1 species